UUAAACACAACCACUCAAAAUUGAUUUCACUUGUUUCAAAUCAUGUGACACAACCAAUAUAAGCCAGUUCAGAGAGCAAACAGGUUGUUGAAGGUAGGACAGAGAAAGUCUAAGAAUGGCUUGGAGAAACAAUGUGAGGGGACGGGGACGAGUGGCCCUGAACAUUGUGCUUUCCAUUUGUUUACAGUACUGUUACAAGAAUUACAGUAUCACAGAAACAAAGGACAAGUUUGUGAGAUGCAGGGUACAGUACUGUAAAAAUAGGGGUACAAAAGAAAUUGCAAAGAACAAAGCAGAGUAUAAUUUCUGAUAAAUUUUGAGCUACUAUGAAAGAACAUGUUUUCAUUUGACAAUGAGGGAAAAAUGAAUUUGUCUUCCUGAGAACUAUGUUUUGAACGUGUUUUCUAUUUUUUUGGUGUAUUGUUUACUGACUGCUUGAUAGUGUGUCAUUUUGAUUGCUUUAUGAUUUGAGAGCAGUGUUUGGUUUUGAGCACAGGUAAAACUGUUUUGAGGCGAAAGUUUCCUUUUGCACGAGGAGACAGAGGUUGUUAGAGGUUAUUUUGUAAAUAGUGCUAGAAGCUGAGGUUUUGUGUUUAAUGUUUUCAGAAAAUGGAGCAAGGUUUCAGAAAUUGUGUUUUAGCAAUUGAGAAAAAACUAAGUCUGUCACACUGCAACUGCCACUCACAGGUGAUGUCCUGUGAGAUUUGAAGUCCUCAGCCCUCUCUGGGCCAAGGUCAGUCCUCUUCCUGUGGAAGUCUACCACCACCUCUUUGGUCUUAGAGGUGUUGAGAGACAGGUUGUUGGUGGAGCACCAAGUGGAGAGUUUUUGGAUUUCAUCCCUGUAGGCGGACUCUUUGUUGUUGUGAAUAAGUCCAACCACAGUGGUGUCGUCUGCAAACUUAAUAAAAGUAUUGCUUUCAUAAGCUGGGGUGCAGUCGUAAGUGUAUAAAAUGUAGAGUAAGGGACUCAACACACAACCCUGUGGGACCCCAGUGCUGAGUGUGAGAACAGAGGAAAGUUGGGAGCCCAGACGAACUGACUGGGGACAAUCUGUGAGGAAGUCAAAGAUCCACCUGCAGAUGUUUGUGUUGAUGCCCAGUCCGUGUACCUUGGACACCAGUCUUCCAGGGAUGAUGCACAAACAACAGUCUUGUAUAGGUGCCAGGAUGUUCAAGGUGGGUCAGCACACAGUGCAGGGCUGUGUUGAUAGCAUCCGCGGUUUACCUGUUUGCUUUAUAGGCAAACUGGUGCUGGUGCAGUGUGGAGGGGAGGGCAGCUUUUAUGUGAUUUAACAGCAGUGUUUCAAAGCACUUCAAGACAGUGGAAGUGAGGGCCACUGGUCUAUAGUCAUUAAAGCUACUCACAGCAGAUUUUUUCAGAAUCGGCACAAUAAUGGCAGAUUUGAGGCACUUGGGGAUGGAAAAGGUAGACAGAGAGAGGUUGAAGAUGGAAGUGAAUACCUCAGCCAGCUGGUCGGCACAGUCCCUCAACACUCUCCCAGGGAUCCUGUCGGGCCCGGCAGCCUUUCUGGUGUUUACGCCAAGAAGUGCCCUCCUGACCUCCCCUGUCCUCAAAGAGAAUGUCAGGGCAUCUGUGGGCAAGAGUGUUAAUGGUGUGGCCAAUGUUGACUCAGUCCUGGUCCCAUUUGCCUCAAAGCGCGCAAAGAAAUAGUUGAGCUCCUCAGGCAAAUUGCUGCUGGUACUUGGGCUUGGGUCUUUUGAACCCUUAAAGUUUGUGAGGUAUUGGAUUCCCUGCCAAACGCGCCGGGGAUCUCCCUCGUUAAAGUGCCCCUUGAUCUUCCUCCUGUAGGCCGCUUUUGCUUCCUUGAUGCCUGUCUUUUGGAUCUGGCGGUGCUGUAUAAUUCCAUGUCCCCGGACCUGAAGACUUGAUCACGUUUUUUCAGCAGCAGCUUGACGUCCCUGUUCAUCCAUGGUUUGUUGUUUUGAUAGCAUUUGACCUGUCUCUCAACAAUGACAUUAUCAAAGCAGGUCUUAAUGUAGUGCAAAAUAGUGCAGGUGUAAUCCUCAAGACUCUACUGUGAGAAAAGUGCCCAAUCAGUGCGCUCAAAAUAGUCUUGCAGUUUUGAAGUCCCAGUAGCAGGCCACAGUUUUGUUAAUUUCACCGUGUGCACAGAUCUCUUAAACACAGGUCUCUACGCUGGUGUGAGAAAGAGGGUCAAAUGGUCAGACUGCCCUAAAUGGGGGUGAACGGAGACCUUGUAUGCCCCUCUGAUGUUACUGUAAACAUGGUCCAGAGUUUUAUCACUUCUGGUUGGAUAUGUUACAUGCUGAUGAAAUUUGGGAAGGACAGUACGCAGAUUAGCGUGAUUAAAGUCCCCUGCCAUAAUAAAGAUCCCAUCCGGGUGGGUGGACUGGAGUUUAUUCACACUAGCAAGAUGUCCACAGCUACACCAGCAUUAGCACUGGGUGGAAUGUAAACAACUCUGGUGCUGUCUUGUUCUCUGGUUUGCAGUGAUUAAUACAAGAACUACAGCUACGUGAUCAAAACAGAUUUCGCACUGCCAUCCUAAAUUUUGUGAGCAUAGUCUUCGCUAGCAGACAGUCUUUAAAACAUCCAAUCUCAAACCAUUUUUAUCCAUACCAAACACACAUCAAACAUCAAAAUGAGCCUAUAUAUCACAACAUAAAUCGCUCUAUAAUCACUGUAUGUGAUCUCCUGAUCACUGAAGGAGGAACCACUGCUACUAUGAAGGAGGAACAUUCAGUCAGGCAGAUACUCUGGUAACAAAAUCCGCUUCUCAGCACCAAACAAACUAACUAAACCUUCCUGGACAAACAAACCAGUUUGCCUAAAUUGAACCAAACAGUAUUUGUACCCUAACCAUUAACCCUUGAAACAGAUAGUGUACUACAACAGGCUAGCACGACCCAGCAGCGGGUGGACUCGUGCCGGUAAGUUUCGCUGUUUGUGCCGCUUGAUGUUUAAUGCCCUGUCUAUGACUCUCCACUGCUAAAACCAUAUCAAUGCUGUGGGCUCCGGGUUGGAGCCCCCGUGUGUAAGUUUGUAUUGUGAGUUUGUUAACCCUGUGAAGAGGGAAACACUGCUUUUUCACGUCCAAUAGGAGUAAACUCCCCUGACAGGCCACUGUAGCGAGUUAGGAGAUUCAGCUGUUGCAGACAGACUGUGGGCCGAUCAAUUACAAUUUAUAAACAGAAGUUAUACAGCGGGAUAAUUGUGUGAUUUAAACUGCUUUUUGUGCAGGUUAGGCUUUACUAAAACGACAGAGAUGGACUCGAAUUGUAUAAAAACAUGCAUGGAGUCUGUGGUUACCAUGAAGACGACUUAAACGAUUUUAGAUAACUUACAUUGCUGAGCGACAGUACAGUGCAAAAAAUGGAGAAUUGGUCACUCAGAAAUACAAGUUAACUUUCCCUUAACUGCCGAAUUGGAAGAUGCUUCCCCCUUGUGUUUUACCAGGUUAUGUUUUGUCCAUUUUGUGGAGGGAACCUUUCUGUCAUAAUGUGUCUUGUGGCAGAAAUAUUCAGUUUUUAAAGAGUCAUCAAGAUGAAGAUCCUGAAACCCCAACGGUGGAUGAACUUAUCUUUAAGUAUUUCACAGAGGGCCACAGUUAUAAUAGACUUCCUUCCAACAAAACACAAUAUUUCACUGAGUCUUAGCACUUGAAAAAGAAGAAUACAAGAUGUCGGCCUGACCAGGAGGACGAACUACACUCCAAUCGCUACUGUGCGGGCAGCUAUUUUUGACGAACUGAAGGGAUCAGGCCAGCAAUGUGUCAGACUCUGAAACAGAAGUACUCUCUUAUUGUCUGAAGAGGUGAUGCACCUAAUGGGAGAAUUGGAUCCGUCUGGAGUAGAAAAUCACUCUAGACAAAGACUUGUCUGCAGAGCAUACCACUCAGUGGGACCCAAUGGAAUCUGAGUCCGACUGCGGCACACAAAAUGGACUGAUGGCAGCACUUCACUGUUCCUUGAGAUCAUUGCAUGUGGACAAAUUUGCAGGAGCCAAAAGCCACGUGUAUGGCACAUCAACAUCCAACCAACGCAUUGAAAGCUAGUGCUCCUACUUUCGGAAACAAAGGUUUUUGUCACACAUUGUUAAUUCUUGAGUUAUUAUGGAUUUAUGCUCCGUCUACUUGACAUUUCUGUAUUUAUUGUAUGUGAUUAUACUGAUCUAUACUCACUUUUACAUGGUACUUUAUCUGCUGUAAAUAUUUAGUGUCGGCAUGAGACUACUUGUGCUCACUAUAAAAUUGCUCACACAUAACACAGUUUCUUAAACCAUUUUAAAUUGCAGUACAGCUUUAAAAGCAACUUCAACCAUUUCAGAGUGUUUUCUUAGGGUCAAGGUACAACAUCAUAAAACGUGUGUACUUUAACUAGGAGUCAGUUUUGGAUGGAUUUGUUCAGUGACUUGAGGGAAAGGCACCUCUUCAAUGGUAGCAGAGAUCACACAAGUUUGGUGCAACACUGCUUCAUGGGUGUCCUUCAGAAUGAACUGGACGAAUACAAGCAACUCUGGAACACGCACACUAUUCGUCCUGUUCGCCAAUCCCAGUGCCCAUCUCGCAAACCAGAGUUUAUGUAUCACUGCCCUGAAAUGUGGCUGACCAGAUCUUCUGAGAGGAUGGCCAGGUCCACCAUGUACUAUGGACACAGCAAUCAUCUUCCCUGCCAAACUAUGUUCAUCCUCUCUGAUUGCUGCUCAUGGAAAUGCAGAGUAAUAGAGUGGUCAAUCAGUUUCAAUAUUAAACAAGCAAUGCAUGGUUGAAUAAUUUAGUUAUCUUAAAACAUUCCACACAAAAUAGUACCACUUGAAUUGUAGACAUGGAUCAAAUAUGGAUCGUUCGUUCAGGCUUCUCAUCAGAAGUGAGAGGAAUUUCCGUUUUGGUCCACCUGUAGCGAUACCUUCCUCAAACCUGCCUGCAUCAUCUGAAAACAUAGAUCCUUCAUUACGGAGAAUGUUCCGCUUUUGAAUCCUCUGACAGCUCCAUCCCACAUGUCAGACCGGCAGAUGUUAAAUCUGCUGAUGGCAUGGAGGUCAAUCUGGAGAGCCAGGUUUGCAAUUAUUUCUGAUGCAGAGAGCUUUUCCACCCUACCAACAGAUAACAGGGUGUCCGCGGGUUCUUAAAAAGUCUUAAAAGGUAAUAUCAAUAAUGUGAAAAUUAAGGCCAUUAAAAUGUAUUAAAAAGUCUUAAUCGCCAUUUAACAAGGUAUUACAUUUUGUAGAUAUUUUUGUCAAUGUGAACAUCCUGUUUGUCCAAAGAGUUUGUAAAGUGUGGAUUAAUGUAUUUAUUUAUAUUGCAUAGCCAAAAUUACUAAAUAGGCAGGUCAUAAGGACGUAGCGAGUGAUUCUUCUGUCUAACGUUAGGCACAGGGAUCUACUGUGCGAGCCUUUCACUCUCAUACAGCCCCUAAAAAUAGAUCCGUGCGAACCAGAAAACUGAUUUACGAGUACAACCGACUGUAAUCUUCCACCAGGCCGGACCCCCGAUGCUAAUCGUUAAAAACAUAGUCGGUCUGAGCUCUGUGGCCGCUUGAACAGCCCCGUUAAUCAAAAACAAGAGCGAGAUGCUCCGCCAGCAGCUGAAUGGGUAAGACAGAAGACAACAGUGAAAAUAUAAGCAGCGUUUGGGUUUGUCUAACGUUAGCUGGCUAUUUAGCUAAACCGGUGCUUUUUAAUGAAACACGUUCAACUUUUCAUAAAGCUGAUGCGCUCCUCAAUGUCACUUUUUGUGAACAGAUUAAUCAUGCUGACCUCAUUGUUCUGCAUAAAUGGUUAUGAUUAUUGACGAGUUAGUUGCCUACUUAAAAUUAAAGUUAGGGACUACCAUGUAGAACAUUUUCCUUGCACAAAGUGCAAGAAUGAAUAAAAAACAACCCCAAACUGAGACAGCUGUAACUGGAAUUAAUAUUAUGAGUGGUAAGCUAAAUACUGUUUAUUCAUUAUAUGAAAUAAUGAAUAUAGUAAUCAUCUCAUCAUAUAAUUAACAUAAUAUCAAACUAACAGUUUACUAUUAUAUUAUCAAUAGCCUUUACAUAUUUUUGCCUGAAAAUAGGUUAGAAUUAUGUCAGGUAGUUAUCGACUGGUUGGCGUUUGCUGGCAAGCUAACAUUAUCUAGGUUGAACCAACUAAAAUACAAAUCACACUGUGUUUCAUAUGUUUUACAGUAAUGUUGUGCAUAACGUCGUAGCCAAUGGAUUUUUGCAGGAAAUCCAACCAGUCCUUCACAUAGAGAACAGUAGGCCUAAACAGGCUGUUAUAAGCAACUCGAGAAAGUUGGUGAAUGCCUCAAUUUUUAGGGGAGGUUACAACCUGGUCACAUAUAGGCGUUCCACAGAUGUAUGCCUCUUACUGAAAACGAUGUCUGAGCAAAUAUACAGUUUCCACUUA